UGAACAAAGCUGCAGAAUAAUGGAAGAGCUCAGGCCGAGUACAUGGGCCGCGAGGAUCAGCCAGGAGGAUCAGCAACCAGAUGAAACGUCCACUGCUCUUCAAAUCAGCACCAGCACACCUAAAACACUUAAAAACAUCAAACCCUUUACCACAAUAACAAUGUGAUGAUCAUGUAAUAUGAGCACACUACAGAGUUUAGCUCCACCGAUUAAACCGCUCAUUUAUUUUCAACACAUUCACUUCCUGUGUCCUUUUAUUUAUAUAUAUAUAUAUAUACACUGAUGAUUUUUUGGUUUUUUGUUUCGCCUGUGAGCAUUGCAGUGGGCCGGUGAGGAGAGAGCUGUCUCUCCUGCUCUCUCUUUCUCUGGCUGCCCCCUCCCUUCCACUUCCUCCCCACCAAACGAUGACUGAUUUCCUCUGGUGCUUAGAGUCCCGCUUGGCUUCUAGCACCAUUUGAAAUCGGUUAUAAUGCCUGGGGAUCAAUUCUUCAGUCUUCCGAUCAGUUCAAUGAACCCCCUUCCCUGGAAAUUGUUUUUUUUUGGGAUAUGAACAUCAAGUGUGAGUCAAGUUUAGACCUGCCUAAAACAUCUACUCAGACUCAGGGUUUUGUGUAAAUAAAGCUGCUAUAUUUGCUGUAAAGUUGAAGUUAUAUUGCCCUCUGCUGUCUGGGAUACAACAUCACACAAGCCAUUAGACCACUUGUCAUAUUGUCUGUAUACUGUUUUCAUAACUUAGUGGCUGAACAAAAGAUUAAGAUAUUCGAAACCAUACGUAAACUACUGGGCAACAAAAAAGCAAAAAAAAAAAAAAAAGAAUGCAUGUUUUAUUAAAAGAAGAAUACUACAUUUAUAAGACUGACUUCUACAAAAGGAAUCGCAUUCCCAAAAUUCUGCAUGCUAGAAUAAUAGUUCACUCAGGAACUACUUGGAAGCCUACUUUGAAUCUUUUUAUGGAAGCCAGUCUGAUCCCUGCUGUCCUGAAACCGAUAGAAGGUUACUUAUUAAUCCACUCGACCAUUUGGUCUAUGGUAUAGAUGCAGCCUCUCACAUCUGUGGUUUUGUUUGAGUACUUACAUAACAGGAAUGUACAAAUAUUGCAGGUUUUGGAGUGUGGAAUUGCAUUGAACAUGUAGCAUGUUUAUACGUUGGUGAGAUAAAUUUGACGUUGGGAAACGAUAUAGCUUCAGUCAUCUCGACAGCAUGUUGCUGAGAAAACCUAAGAGUGGGGAGACUCUCCUCACUUACCUGCCUGAGGAAGAGAAAGCCAAAGUUGGGUUGUAAGAUUUUCAUUAAUCCAACAGUAAUACUCUGGCUUGUCCUUGUGUCAUGAAAUGUGGGUAAAUGAGUUUUGCAAACAUUUUGACAGAAUAACACAAUCUACAUGAUCUUUUUUUUUUUGAGUUUUGGACUCAAAAGCGGUCUGACACAUUCUGAGAAAGAACUGACAGCUGAAGCUGGCCUGCCUUGACACCUCAAAUACAGCCCAGUCACACCUUAAGGUAUAUGCUGAGCAUAAUAAUAAUGAGUUAACACUGACCGGGCUGCCCUGCUCCAGGCCAACAGCCCCAUUCCAAACCCUGCAGAGGGAGGUGACAGUCCUGCCAAAUACCUGCCCUGUGGUAUCUUCAUUAACAUACUGCAACCAAAAUAACAUGCACUCCCACAGAUGUCAACACUCUCUCUAGCUCGUCUACCCUCUCAGUAAAAUAUUACAAUAAUCAGAGUGAGAGACAGGAAGAUACCAACACUGUAGGUCUACAGCGCCUCUCUAGAAGGAGCCCGUCUCCUGUCAGCAAUACACCUUGCCUUCUCUUAAGCAUACACUUUGGAGGCCAGCUCACUCCCAGAAGGUCACAAGUGGCCUGGGCAGCAGGUUCACACAUAAGAAGAACAGAGCCAGAGUAGUCCGCUCUGCGAGCCCCUCCACCUCUCUUCCCUCCAGAGGGUCUCGUUGAGAGUGACUGCACCAGGCUGGGGGCAUUCCAACACGGGGAGCCAACUUACUGGAACGUCACCAGUAGCACUGACACCCAGUGCACUUACCACACUGGGCACACUUGAGUGUCCUGUAAUACAUGUUUUGAGAACUACUCAUAUGUAUGGAGUUUUGAGAACUACUCAUAUGUAUGGAGUUUUGAGAACUGCUCAUAUGUAUGGAGUUUUGUGAACUGCUGAUAGGUAUGGAGUUUUGUGAACUGCUCAUAGAUAUGGAAUGCAGUUUUCUGGAAUGUUUUUAAUGUUUUGCUGAUGUAUGAAGUUGCUUGGAUGCUGCAGAUUUUGUGUAUUAGUUGCAUGAAAUGAUUUAAUCAAUUACUGAAAUGGUUCAACAGUGUAUACUUGCCUAAAACAGUUCAAAAGUAAUCUUCUGGUUUUAUAUUUGUAAUAUUCUAAUGCAUUACUUUCUCUUACAUAAAGUAUGGCUCACUUCAAAACAA